rnacentral:tRNA from 1 species
GUUCUUGUAGUUGAACUACAACGGUGGUUUUUCGAGUCACUGGUUUCGGUUAAAAUCCGAAUGAGAAUAAU